GACGAACGCUGGCGGCGUGCCUAAUACAUGCAAGUUGAGCGCUGAAGGUUGGUACUUGUACCAACUGGAUGAGCAGCGAACGGGUGAGUAACGCGUGGGGAAUCUGCCUUUGAGCGGGGGACAACAUUUGGAAACGAAUGCUAAUACCGCAUAAAAACUUUAAACACAAGUUUUAAGUUUGAAAGAUGCAAUUGCAUCACUCAAAGAUGAUCCCGCGUUGUAUUAGCUAGUUGGUGAGGUAAAGGCUCACCAAGGCGAUGAUACAUAGCCGACCUGAGAGGGUGAUCGGCCACAUUGGGACUGAGACACGGCCCAAACGCCUACGGGAGGCAGCAGUAGGGAAUCUUCGGCAAUGGACGAAAGUCUGACCGAGCAACGCCGCGUGAGUGAAGAAGGUUUUCGGAUCGGAAAACUCUGUUGGUAGAGAAGAACGUUGGUGAGAGUGGAAAGCUCAUCAAGUGACGGUAACUACCCAGAAAGGGACGGCUAACUACGUG
rnacentral:rRNA from 1 species